UGCAGCGUGACAUAGCAGCCGGCGACUUCAUCGAGCAUGCCGAGUUCUCGGGGAACCUGUAUGGCACGAGCAAGGUGGCGGUGCAGGCCGUGCAGGCCAUGAACCGCAUCUGUGUGCUGGACGUGGACCUGCAGGGUGUGCGGAACAUCAAGGCCACCGAUCUGCGGCCCAUCUACAUCUCUGUGCAGCCGCCUUCACUGCACGUGCUGGUCAGCGGCUGCGGCAGCGCAACACUGAAACCGAGGAGAGCCUGGUGAAGCGGCUGGCUGCUGCCCAGGCCGACAUGGAGAGCAGUGAGAGCCCGGCCUGUUUGAUGUGGUCAUCAUUAACGACAGCCUGGACCAGGCCUACGCAGAGCUGAAGGAGGCGCUCUCUGAGGAAAUCAAGAAAGCUCAAAGGACCGGCGCCUGAGGCUUGCUGUCUGUUCUCGGCACCCCGGGCCCAUACAGGACCAGGGCAGCAGCAUUGAGCCACCCCCUUGGCAGGCGAUACGGCAGCUCUGUGCCCUUGGCCAGCAUGUGGAGUGGAGGAGAUGCUGCCCCUGUGGUUGGAACAUCCUGGGGUGACCCCCGACCCAGCCUCGCUGGGCUGUCCCCUGUCCCUAUCUCUCACUCUGGACCCAGGGCUGACAUCCUAAUAAAAUAACUGUUGGAUUAGAAACUCC
rnacentral:lncRNA from 1 species